rnacentral:rRNA from 1 species
UACGAAGGGGGCUAGCGUUGUUCGGAAUUACUGGGCGUAAAGCGCAUGUAGGCGGAUCGCUAAGUCAGGGGUGAAAUCCCGAGGCUCAACCUCGGAACUGCCUUUGAUACUGGCGAUCUUGAGUCCGGGAGAGGUGAGUGGAACUCCGAGUGUAGAGGUGAAAUUCGUAGAUAUUCGGAAGAACACCAGUGGCGAAGGCGGCUCACUGGCCCGGUACUGACGCUGAGAUGCGAAAGCGUGGGGAGCGAACAGG